rnacentral:tRNA from 5 species
GGUCUCGUAGCUCAGUUGGAUAGAGCAACAGCCUUCUAAGCUGUGGGCCGAAGGUUCGAAUCCUUCCGAGAUCACGA